rnacentral:tRNA from 1 species
GGGGCAGUAGCUCAGUUGGGAGAGCGCGGGCUUUGCAAGCCUGAGGUCGUCGGUUCGCUCCCGAUCAGCUCCACCA